rnacentral:rRNA from 1 species
GUCGAACGAAAGCUUAGCUUUAGUGGCAAACGGGUGAGUAACACGUAAGAAUCUGCCUUCAGGAGGGAAAUAACAUUUGGAAACGAUUGCUAAUGUCCCAUAUGCUGAAAAGUGAAAUAAUUUUUGCCUGAAGAUGAGCUUGCGCCUGAUUAGCUAGUUGGUAAGGUAAUGGCUUACCAAGGCUACGAUCAGUAGCUGGUUUGAGAGGAUGAUCAGCCACACUGGAACUGAGACACGGUCCAGACUUCUACGGAAGGCAGCAGUGGGGAAUUUUCCGCAAUGGGCGAAAGCCUGACGGAGCAAUACCGCGUGAGGGAUGAAUGCCUGUGGGUUGUAAACCUCUUUUAUCAGGGAAGAAUAUUGACGGUACCUGAUGAAUAAGCAUCGGCUAACUCCGUGCCAGCAGCCGCGGUAAUACGGGGGAUGCAAGCGUUAUCCGGAAUUAUUGGGCGUAAAGAGUCUGUAGGUUGUUUAAUAAGUCUGCUGUUAAAUAUUAGAGCUCAACUCUAAAAAAGCAGUAGAAACUAUUAAACUGGAGUAUGGUAGGGGCAAAGGGAAUUCCCAGUGUAGCGGUGAAAUGCGUAGAUAUUGGGAAGAACACCAGAAGCGAAGGCGCUUUGCUGGGCCAUAACUGACACUCAGAGACGAAAGCUAGGGGAGCAAAUGGGAUUAGAUACCCCAGUAGUCCUAGCUGUAAACGAUGGAUACUAGAUGUUGCGCGUAUCGAUCCGUGCAGUAUCGUAGCUAGCGCGUUAAGUAUCCCGCCUGGGAAGUAUGCUCGCAAGAGUGAAACUCAAAGGAAUUGA